rnacentral:lncRNA from 1 species
AGACCCCACAAACCUUACAGACCCCAUAAACCCCGCAGACCCCACAGACCCCACAAACCCCUCCACCCCACAGACCCCACAGACCCCACAAACCCCACAGAGCUCCGUGCUGCACGUCGGGGCCGACCCCAUUUAUUGACCCCAAAACUGCCGAUGGGGNNNNNNNNNNNNNNNNNNNNNNNNNNNNAGACCCCACAGAUGUGGGGUGGGGUGGGGCGCUAUGGGGUGCUAUGGGGCGGUGUGGGGUGCUAUGGGGUGCUAUAGGGUGGUGUGUGGGGCUAUAGGGUGCUAUGGGGUGGUGUAGGGUGCCAUGGCGUGUUAUGGGGUGCUAUGGGGUGGUAUGUGGGGCUAUGGGGCGCUAUGGGGUGCUAUGGGGCAGUGUAGGGUGCUAUGGAGUGCUAUGGGGUGCUAUGGGGCGGUAUGUGGAGCUAUGGGGCACUAUGGGGUGCUAUGGGGCGGUGUAGGGUGCUAUGGGGCACUAUGGGGUGCUAUGGGGUGGUGUGUGGGGCACAAUGGGGUCAAUGGGUCUCAAUGGGUCUCAGUGGGUCUCAGUGGGGUCAAUGGGUCUCAGUGGGUCUCAGUGGGUCUCAGUGGGUCUCAAUGGGUCUCAAGGGGUCUCAAUGGGGCACAGUGGGGUCAGUGGGUCUCAGUGGGUCUCAGUGGGUCGCUGUGGGUCUCAGUGGGUUUCAAUGGGUCUCAGUGGGGUCAAUGGGGUCACUGGGUCUCAGUGGGUCUCAGUGGGUCUCAGUGGGUCUCAAUGGGUCUCAAUGGGUUUCAAUGGGUCUCAGUGGGUCUCAAUGGGUCUCAGUGGGUCUCAGGGGUCUCAAUGGGUCUCAGGGGUCU